rnacentral:tRNA from 1 species
UAGCUCAGUUGGUAAAGAAUCUGCCUGUAAUGCAGGAGACCCUGGUUCGAUUCCUGG